AAGGUGCAGUUUUGCUCCUCAUGUUUAUAGCCAGAGGCACAUAUCCCCCUCAACUAUUUAAUCUUACCUUCCUUCCUUUUAUGUAAAAAGAAAAAAAGUUCCCGCCAAUUAGCCAAAUCUAAAUUCCUAAUUAAUAUCUCCCUAUCUUCCUAAUGCAUUGAUAUGACAAUACCGCAAGAUUAGGGUAACUGGUCCAGUUCACAACAGCUCGUGAAAGACAAAGGAAUGGGAAUACAAGGACUUUUGCCUCUUUUGAAAUCGAUAAUGGUACCCAUUCACAUUAAGGAGUUACAGGGCUGCUGUGUUGCUGUUGAUACUUACUCUUGGCUCCACAAAGGCGCCUUGUCUUGCAGUACUCAGCUCUGUAAAGGAUUACCCACCUCUAGGCACAUUCAGUAUUGCAUGCAUAGAGUAAAUUUGCUGCGGCAUUAUGGUGUUAAACCCAUUCUUGUCUUUGAUGGUGGUCUUCUGCCGAUGAAGAGUGAACAAGAGAACAAGCGUGCAAGAUCAAGGAAAGAGAAUCUUUCACGUGCUAUAGAGCACGAGGCAAAUGGAAAUUCAGCUGCUGCUUAUGAAUGCUAUCAGAAGGCUGUUGAUAUUUCACCUUCAAUUGCUCAUGAAUUAAUCCAGGCCUUGAAGCAGGAAAAUGUUUCUUAUGUUGUGGCCCCUUAUGAGGCUGAUGCCCAAAUGACCUUCUUGGCAAUAAGCAAACAAGUUGAUGCAGUUAUUACUGAGGACUCUGAUCUAAUACCAUUUGGCUGCCCCAGAAUUGUAUUCAAAAUGGACAAAUAUGGGCAAGGUAUUGAGUUUCAGUACUCCAGGCUUCAGCUGAACAAGGAGCUAAGUUUUUCUGGAUUCACCCAUGAGAUGAUUCUUCAGAUGUGCAUUUUGAGUGGCUGUGACUAUCUGCAGUCACUACCAGGAAUGGGACUCAAAAGGGCUCAUGCACUAAUUACAAAGUUCAAAAGUUAUGAUAAGGUAAUCAAACACCUGAAAUAUAGCACAAUUUCUGUUCCCCCCCUUUAUGAAGAGUCCUUUAGGAAAGCAAUAUUGACCUUCCAGCAUCAAAGGGUUUAUGAUCCUAUCGCUGAAGAUAUCAUACAUUUGUCUGAUUUAGCUGACAAUCUUGGUGACAAUUUGGACUUUUUGGGCCCAUUAAUACCGCAGCAUAUAGCUAAGGGUAUAGCAGAAGGUGAUCUUGAUCCAUUUACCCAAAUGCCGUUCAAGGGAGAAAGUGUUGGUUGCGAAGUGGUGCUUGACAGAACUACUGAUUUAAAAAAAGUUCGACCUGAAACUGGAAAGAAAAAGCUAGAUUUGCCUGUACAAAAGAAUCUUCUAACCAAGUACUUCUGCUUUGCAUCUCUGGAAGCAAAGAGGAACUUCAGGGCGCCUCGAACUUCACCAAUAAAUCCAAGUCCAGUAGACAAAUCUUCUCUCAGUCCCAAUGUGAAUUGCAAUCUGGAGGUUGCGUCAAGUAACAUGGACUGCUCUGCAGCAACCCCACUUGACUAUGGAAAUAUGAAAAGCACCAUGCCCGAUGAUACCGUGGAAAGUGGUUUUGCUGCUGAAGAUCUUGAACUUUCAGCAUCUCCAACUCCUGGCAUGAUUGGUGAGGAGAGAAGUUCAGUACAUAAUUUGCUCCAAGAACUCGGGGAUUCAACUCAUAAGCCUUUUCAAGCAUUAUUAAAGGAAUGCGAUAGUAAGAGUGUUACAACAAGAAGUGUACUUCAAGAUGAAAGAAAAGCAGAGAACAAAAAGGUCAUUGUACAAAGUUCUUACUUUGAGCCCACACCAAUAAACAAAUUUGAUGAAGACAAUGAAAAGGAGAAGCUCUUAGUCAAGAAUGCUCCCACUGAUCCUUGCGACGGUAGCAUUCUUAAGAGUGCUUACAAGAUAAGAACAGCAGAUAACAAGAUCACCAUUAGGAGCUCUUAUUUUCAGCACAAUUCAGUGAACAAGAAUGAUAAAAAGAAUGAACACGAGAGGCUCUUAGUUGAGAGUGAUGCAGCAAUGGGUAGUGAUAUGAAUGAGGAUGUCAUUCUUGAUAUUGCUUCUUCUGAAAAUAACAGCAUUGGCAUGAAAAGGAAGACCUCCCAGAAUGGCACUGUCCAAAGAGAGAAUAUGAAUAUGAGAACCAAGCACAUGAGGACAGAUGCAUCACUUUCGGAGAAUGGUUGCCAUGCUCCUAAUCUUGAUGAUACAUUUGCGGGGACAAUGACUGAAGGAGGAAAGUUUGGAUCUAACAUUUCACAUUUAAGCCAUUAUUCUGACAUAGCAGAGAAAUCAAUGGAGAGAUUUGUUUCAGUCAUAUCAUCAUUUAAAUUCUCUUCAUCUGGUUCUCGUGCUAGUGGUCUUCGUGCCCCUCUGAGAGAUAUUCAAAACACGAGUACCAGUAGGUCAAAGGUUGACGUGGAUUUCAGCCGUUUUGCUUAUACACCAAAGGACAAGAAGACUGGUGUAGCAUUACGGAGAUGCUGAAUUUGGAAAAUAUGGAACUGAAAAUGCAUAAAUGUAUAAUGGCCGAGUCAUGAGUCAUUUCAGUUGCAGGAGCUCUGGAUUCUAUUACUUCUAUAUGGAGAAUGACCCAACUUCACUCAUCAAUUUACCUUUAGUUGCAGUACCACCUGUAGCAACAUGUUCCUCCUGGCAUUACUGUAAGUCGGGAUGCAAAAUUCUGAUUCUUUGUAAUCCGAUUUUCAGUCAUGUGAAACUCUUUUGAUGAUGUAAGAUGUUCCAAUGAAUUCGAUAUCUCUAUUGUUAUUACCUUGUUGCUUUCCAGAGCAUUACGUGUUGUAAGAGGAACUCGAAAAUCUUAAGAAUGAAUCCUGAGAGGAUUUUCACUUGGUAAAA